AGCGCGCGUUCCGGCUCGGCUGAAACGCACCAGGAGAAAGCAAGACACCUGCCAAGACGUCCUCUCUUCCAGUUACCCCCAGGGUGAGGUGGUCACCUUCUCCUGAGCCCCAGCUGGAUGCAGGCAGCACCCCAGCGAGGGACGCGUGCCCCGAGGGAUGCUCUCCCUGAAGCUGAGGGAUGUUUGCCCAAAGGGAUGCAUUCCCUGAGGCCCAGGGAUGCUAUCCCGUGGCUCAAGGAUCCUCUCCCUGAGGCUGAGUGAUGCAUUCCCCUAAAGAUGCUCUCCCCAUGGCCAAGGGACGCUCUGCCCAAGGGAGAUGCUGUCACCGGUGCCAAGGGAUGCUCUCCCCAACCCCGAGGGAUGCUCUGCCCUAGGCUGAGGGAUGCAUUCUCCCAGGGGUGCUCUCCCUGAGGCCAAGAGAUGCUCUCCCAGUGAGCUUUGCCUGCCCCACGCAGCGACCCAAAGCUCUGGCUGCCAUCCCCAUGGCUGGAGAAAUGGGAUUUGGCAGCCGAUUCCCCUGCUGAAGAGGGGCAGUGGGGGGCUCCCUGCCUGCUGCCAGCCGCGCCGUGCUCUGCCCCAUCCUCUGCCCCUGCUUUUGGACACGUGCCCCAGCCGCUGCCAUCCCGCUGAUGUGACCCAGCUGGAGCCCCACCAGCUGCUCACCCCUCACUCCUGCACAGUGCCCCAUCCACGCUCUGACCACCUCCAUCGCCAAACUGGGGCUCUCCUCCGCGCUGGGUGCCACACAUGGGGUGCUGCGCCAUCACGGGGUGGGCUGGGGGGGGGUUGGGGAUGGGAAGCAAUAGCAGAUGGGGACGGGUGCCGAGGUGGGGUGAACCCGGCUGGCCCGAAAGGGUCGGUGUCUUUCUAAUGCUGUUCCAUAUCUCUGUGAUGAAGGCAAUACUACUCCCAUUUCCUCUGUCCUGUACGCAUGCCUCUCCCUGUCCAGCCGCACUAGAGUUUGAAUAAAGACAUCCGUGAGCUGAGUCAGCUCCCACAGCCCCUGCCUUGGCGUGUCCCUCCUUGCCCAAGGAUCGCGGUCCCAGCGGCCGUGCUGCCCUCACAUUGGAUCAGAGCCCUCUUGGAAAGCUCACGUUGGUUGCAACAUCCACACCAUCUUCAUUUGGUGGAGGGACGCACUGCAGAGCUGACCAAAGCAUUGCCUCUCCCUGCUCUGAGCAGCAAAGCUGAACUGAUCAGCAGUAAAGCCG
rnacentral:lncRNA from 1 species